UUUUGCCUAAACAUUAGCCUAUAAAUAGGAAUACCAAUUGUAAAGGGGAGUGUGACCAACGGAGAAAAGAAAGAAAGGGGAGAAGAGAAAAAGAAGAGAGAAGAAGAAGAGAAAAGAAGAAAGAAAAGAAGAGAAAAAGAAGAAAGAAAAGAGAGAAGAAGAAAGAAAGAGAAAAUUCAGUGAGCCUCACAUAUUGUAAACUCUAAAGUUGUAGCCCUAUUAUUUCAUAUAGUGAAAAAGUUACUGCUGUUGCUCUCCGAGGACGUAGGCAUAGCCGAACCUCGUUAAAUGCUGUGUCUCAUCUACUUUUCGUGCAGCUCAAUAUUCGUACAUAUUCCAUGUUAUUUUUAUAACACGUUAUCAGCACGAGAAGCUCUCAGGUAUAAUUUUUGUGCUGCACUAUUAUCUAUACUACUAACCACUAACAAACAUGGACCCUUGGUAAUACUAAACAUAUUAUCAGUGGGAGACCGUUACUAAUACUAACUUUUUUCUUAUUUUAUUCGGUGGUGGUUUUAACCCCACAUUUAUUUACUGUAUGGUGUAGGUUUAUUACCCAUACAUGCACCUUUACUUUAUCGCAAAUUUAUUUUACCGCAUAUUUAUUUUAUUUACUGUAUGGUGUAGGUUUAUUACCCAUACAACAGUAUUUAUUUAAAAGGGUGGUGCGGGUUUAUCGUCCACGCCUUUACUUUUAUUUAAAUGUAUGGAGCAGAAUUAGUGCCCAUACAAGCACAAUUUACUUUACCGCACAUUUAAUUUUAUUUAAAGUAUGGUGCGGGAUUAACGUCCAUACAGCAAGCAAUUUAAUUUAUGAAUUUAAUUUACCGCACAUUUACAUUUAUUUAAAAGGGUGGUGCGGGUUUAUCGUCCACGCCUUUACUUUUAUUUAAAUGUAUGUAGCAGAAUUAAUGCCCAUACAAACACCUUAACUUUAUGAAUUUAAUUUACCGCACAUUUACAUUUAUUUAAAGUGUGGUGCGGGUUUAUCGUCCAUACCAGUAAUUUAUUUACCAGCAAUUUAUUUUAUGGAUUAAAUGUGCUGUAUGAUGAGUUUUUACAGUAUGCAGAUCAGGACCAGAAGUUCCUUGAUCCUCAUCAUACAAUUACAUCAGGACUUGAAGAUCCUUGAUGAUGAUAUUAAUAUGAGAGCUGG
rnacentral:lncRNA from 1 species